NNNNNNNNNNNNNNNNNNNNNNNNNNNNNNNNNNNNNNNNNNNNNNNNNNNNNNNNNNNNNNNCCGUAGACCUCGCGGAUCCAGUCGCGGAGGUAGAAGCCGCCCAUGCGGGGGUUGAUCUCCAGCAGGCGGGGGCCGCCCGGCGCCAGCUUCAGCUCCACGUUGAAGACGCCGUCGGCCAGCCCGCACGCCACGCAGCACUGGUGGGCCGCCCGCACCAGCUGCGCCUGCCGGUCGGCCGGCAGGCACGAGGGCAUGCAGGCGGCCGUCUCCAGGAAGGCGGGCACCCGCGUGGGGCCGUUGUCGGACACCCAGGCGCCCAGCAGCUGCCCCUCGAAGAGCACCAGGUCCACGUCGUGCUCGGUGCCCGGCACGUACUCCAUGAGCAGCAUGCUGUUGCCCCAGCCCAGCCCGAUGCCCGGGUGGUCGGCGUCGGCCCGCAGGUCGCGCCACAGCCGCUCGGCGUGCGCGUGGCACUCGCCGGCGCUCUCCACCAGCCGCACGCCCACGGCGCCCGCCCCGUACUCCAGCUUGGCCACGGCGGGGAAGGGCAGGGCGGCGGCGGCCCGCUCCACGUCGCCGUGGCUCUCCACGUGGCAGCAGGGCACGGCGUAGGCGGCGGGCGGCGGGCGGCCCCGGCGGCACCGCAGCAGGUGCUGGUGGGUCCGGCUCUUCUGCUUGGCCAGGCGCACGGCGGCCGGCGGGUUGGUGCGCAGCCCCAGGCGCUGGCACACCAGGGCCGCCAGCACCACGCAGUCGUCCCAGUAGCAGAGGCAGGCGUGGGGGUGCAGGCCCCGGGCCCGCACCAGCUCGGCCACCCGCUCGGCGUGCUCCUCGUCCCGCCGGUGCUCCGUGCUGUCGUAGGGCAGGAAGGUCUCCACCAGCCCUGCCGCAAAGUGCUCCGGGUCCGACUCCACCAGGUGGAUCUGCAUCCCCCCCCCCCCCACGAGGGACACAGCUGGCGUCACAGCGGCGGGGCGCCGGCGCCGCAGCCCCCUCCCGCUUCAGCCACGGGGCGUUCACUCUGAAACCUCCUGAUGGCCGUCAGUCCCGGCCCCGGGUCUCACCUUGAGGCCGUAGUCCCGGGCCGCGUCCCAGACGAAGCUCUUGCUGACGCCGCCAGCCCCGAUGAGCAGGAUGUCCUUGCCCUCUAGGAGGUGGCGCUGCGCCCGGUGCAGCAUGGUCUCGGCCAGCAGGUGGGGCAGGUCGCCGGCGGGCUCGCCCACGGCGCGCCCCAUGGCCUCGGCCAGCCCGCAGGUCUCCAGGCACCGCUGCGCGUUGGUCGACAGGGCCAUGAGCUCCAGCGAGUCGCCCACGCAGGUCAGCAGGAA
rnacentral:lncRNA from 1 species